CUAUGCGCCUUGCCAGCCCGCUCAGGUGUGCCAGCCGCCGCGGUAAUACGUAGGUGGCGAGCGUUGUCCGGAUUUACUGGGCGUAAAGGGAGCGUAGGCGGACUUUUAAGUGAGAUGUGAAAUACUCGGGCUCAACUUGAGUGCUGCAUUUCAAACUGGAAGUCUAGAGUGCAGGAGAGGAGAAUGGAAUUCCUAGUGUAGCGGUGAAAUGCGUAGAGAUUAGGAAGAACACCAGUGGCGAAGGCGAUUCUCUGGACUGUAACUGACGCUGAGGCUCGAAAGCGUGGGGAGCAAACAGG
rnacentral:rRNA from 1 species